rnacentral:rRNA from 1 species
AUAUAUCCUAUAAUUUUAAUAAUAUAUAAACAGGGGAUAAUAGGUUAAAUAUUAUAUAUCUGCUCUUAAGAAUAUAAAUUAUUAGUACCUCCAUGUCAGCUUAUCUAUAUCU